GCCCUUAGAGUUUGAUCCUGGCUCAAGACGAACGCUGGCGGCGCGCCUAACACAUGCAAGUCGAACGAGAGAGAGGGAGCUUGCUUCCUCAAUCGAGUGGCGAACGGGUGAGUAACGCGUGAGGAACCUGCCUCAAAGAGGGGGACAACAGUUGGAAACGACUGCUAAUACCGCAUAAGCCCACGACCCGGCAUCGGGUAGAGGGAAAAGGAGCAAUCCGCUUUGAGAUGGCCUCGCGUCCGAUUAGCUAGUUGGUGAGGUAACGGCCCACCAAGGCGACGAUCGGUAGCCGGACUGAGAGGUUGAACGGCCACAUUGGGACUGAGACACGGCCCAGACUCCUACGGGAGGCAGCAGUGGGGAAUAUUGCACAAUGGAGGAAACCCUGAUGCAGCGACGCCGCGUGGAGGAAGAAGGUCUUCGGAUUGUAAACUCCUGUUGUUGAGGAAGAUAAUGACGGUACUCAACAAGGAAGUGACGGCUAACUACGUGCCAGCAGCCGCGGUAAAACGUAGGUCACAAGCGUUGUCCGGAAUUACUGGGUGUAAAGGGAGCGCAGGCGGGAAGACAAGUUGGAAGUGAAAUCCAUGGGCUCAACCCAUGAACUGCUUUCAAAACUGUUUUUCUUGAGUAGUGCAGAGGUAGGCGGAAUUCCCGGUGUAGCGGUGGAAUGCGUAGAUAUCGGGAGGAACACCAGUGGCGAAGGCGGCCUACUGGGCACCAACUGACGCUGAGGCUCGAAAGUGUGGGUAGCAAACAGGAUUAGAUACCCUGGUAGUCCACACUGUAA
rnacentral:rRNA from 1 species